GGAAUAUUGGUCAAUGGACGAGAGUCUGAACCAGCCAAGUAGCGUGCAGGAUGACGGCCCUAUGGGUUGUAAACUGCUUUUAUCAGGGAAUAAAGUGAGGCACGUGUGCCUUUUUGUAUGUACCUGACGAAUAAGGACCGGCUAAUUCCGUGCCAGCAGCCGCGGUAAUACGGAAGGUCCGGGCGUUAUCCGGAUUUAUUGGGUUUAAAGGGAGCGCAGGCGGAAGCUUAAGCGUGACGUGAAAUGCAGGUGCUCAACAUCUGCACUGCGUCGCGAACUGGGUUUCUUGAGUGAGUACGACGUGGACGGAAUUCGUGGUGUAGCGGUGAAAUGCUUAGAUAUCACGAAGAACCCCGAUUGCGAAGGCAGUCCACGAGUCCUUUACUGACGCUAAAGCUCGAAAGUGCGGGUAUCGAACA
rnacentral:rRNA from 1 species